UACAGAGGGUGCGAGCGUUAAUCGGAAUUAUUGGGCGUAAAGGGCGCGUAGGCGGCGAGGCAAGUGGAAGGUGAAAUCCCUCGGCUUAACCGAGGAACUGCCCUCCAAACUGCUUUGCUUGAGGCCGGGAGAGGUGAGUGGAAUUCCCAGUGUAGCGGUGAAAUGCGUAGAUAUUGGGAGGAACACCAGUGGCGAAGGCGGCUCACUGGACCGGUUCUGACGCUGAGGCGCGAAAGCGUGGGGAGCAAACGGG
rnacentral:rRNA from 1 species